rnacentral:lncRNA from 1 species
AUUCUGACUCAGGGGUGACUCAGCUCUUCCAUGACCUGUGUUCCCACUUCUCCUUGAUAAGGCCAAUGUUUUGGCCCUACUGGUGAAAAUAUGUAGACCUAACAUCUAUCUCCCUGCUCCAGUUUCAAGAGAAAAGACCUUAUUCAGAGAAAUAUUUAGAAGACUCUUGUGGAAUUCUUGCUGUGAGUGGUUUUUCCUUCCCUGCCAUUGGUGCGACUGUUUCCCCCUUCCGUCAAAUUGCUGUCUAGAUGUUUCUCUCUGACCCCAAUUUUCUCGGAGUUUGGGAUUAUCAAUCUAAAAUCAGAGGCAGGGAGGAACUUGGAUUGUCCUUCAGUAAAAUUCCACUUUGAUGCGCAAAGCGAACUUGAAUUUCUGCUUGGCCUACCACAGGCCUGCAACAUGCACUUUCUCCUCGAGGUGAGAAGGUCUUUUUCUCUCCACUCUGAAACACCGCUGCCUGCACCUUUUGCUGAGUUUAGAGUAGCAUCAUACUUUCUGCCACGAAUGCCACAAAUACUGCCUUUUCAACUUGGUUUUGUAAAAUGUAAUGGUACUAAAUCCGCCAAAGGGAUAAAGCACCCUUACUUUGGAUUUGCCAGUCCCAUGGGUACAUAACUGACCUACUACUCUCCCACCUCCCAACCUUGAAACUCCAGCCCCCUGAACGGCCUCACCACUCCAACCCCCACUGCAAUUUCCCACUCCCCACCUCCAUGCAUUGCCCAUUCACCAAGCCAGCCACAUCUCCCUUUAAGUUGAAAACUCACCCGAAAGCCCACUACCUCUUCCAUGCAGCCUCCCCUGAUUAAGUGAGGAUGAAGAAACCUCCAAAGCAUGGCCGACAAACUCCCAAUAAACGAGAACACACACCCCCCCAAAACAAACACAGAAACUCACAAAAGAAGAAAAUGACACAUUCUCUACUUUUGAUUUGUGAAACUCCUAUGGGGCUAAGGAGAUCAAUUUUAUACCAAUAAAUCAUUUCAGAAAAUGAAGUCAUUUUAAUAUUCUUGGGGUUACUCAGCAAAACACUUUGCUUGGACGUCUCUUUUGUACUUUCCUUAAAUUCUUCUUCCUUUUCUUCUCGGCUUUUUGAACGUAUGACUGAAGGGAACUGCCACUCACUGACACGGACAACAGUAAAGGAACUUGGUCUUCACUAUGCCUCAUAGUGGUGGGUCACACUGCCCAGGAGGAACCCGCAAUGAGACCGGCAAAUGCCUUAACCAUCUCAUUGUCUCAUCAGGAAGAAGCUUAAAUGACUCUUCUUGCUCACAUACUUCCUGGGCAAACAUGUCUGCUCUGUUGGGAUAAAGGACGCUCUAGACCAGGCUCUGCUGAAAGAUCCAGGGCAAAGGUUCCUGACAAGACUAUGUCCAGCCUCAAAUAAGGCCACAGAAGAGCCCAGGCUCGCUGACGAGCACCGGCUCCGAGGCAGUCACAUCAGGAGACAGAAACAGACAUGUUGGUGCUGCCCUCUCAGGUCAGUGCAAAUGCCACUUGAGGAGGGCUGAGAGCUUUGCAGCAUAAAAUGACCAGAACAAGGAGAAACACAGAUGCAAUGGCAAUAGCUGGCAAUUCGCACAUGGCGUCAAACACCACUGCCACAGAAGCUUUUUAGCUACAAGCCACGCUAUGCAACCUUUAAGCAAAACAUUAUUGAUUUUGUGGUUGUAAAAACAUACCUUCAACUGCAGAACUCAGUUUUAUGACACCUUGAAUAAAAACAAAAAGUGGCAGUUAUAUAAUGGACCCAAAUCGCCUUUUCCAGGCUUCUCAUAACACACGCAUGCUUCAGAUUUGGAUUUUUCUUUUUCUGCUGGCAUUGCAAGAACGUAACUAAACAAAUAUCAACUUCAAAAAUAAAAUAAUUUUUAGUCUUAACUAGGUCUCAUGGAUGUCUUCUUUUCCCCCACUAAA